GCAGUCGUGGCCGAGUGGUUAAGGCGAUGGACUAGAAAUCCAACGGGGUCUUCCCGCACAAGUUUGAAUACUGUCGACUGCG
rfam:Ixodes scapularis strain Wikel colony gcontig_1108379866112, whole genome shotgun sequence.